CUCGGGUUGCAAGAACUUGCAAGUUCCCACAAGUUUAUCAUCAUCAUCAUCAUCAUCAUCAUCAUCAUCAUCAUCAUCAACAAACAGCGGCAGCACCACAGUGAACAUCUCAUUCACGACCAUACCUAUGAGAAUUCCUCAGCUUCUAUUUCUUUGCCUAGUUUCUCCUCUCAUUCUUGCAUGCACUCUCCUAUCCAAACAAGCAGAUUUAUUUCUACAUUGUUUACAAACGGUUAAAUCAUUUAAAAUAUUUGAAUUUCUGCCAGAAUCCUGUCUGCCUGCUGCUUCCUGGGUUGCAGCCUGGGCAAGAGUGAACACAGCUUCAGUUUCCCACAUUCUCACGUGAGAAUAAGCUCUCCUGGGAAAGGGAAGAAAGAGCCUAGGGUCCCAGUACAACACUCCUUUGUACCGGGUGACCACGGUAAGGACCUCACUGAGAGGCCUGCCUGAAAUGAAAAUGGCACUUUUACGGCUAUGGAUGUGUUUGUCCAAAGAACACUUAAUCACUCCAAAGGUCCACCCCCCUCCCCUUGUCUGAAGUAAGCUGCAUUUUGUAACUGUAGAGUUCUGCUAAUGUACACUUCUGCCGGGAAGCUUCCCAGGGUGGGGCACAAAGGACUCUAAGUAGCAGGGGGAGAUGGGGAGGGAGCCAUUAGCACUGCGGCGCUGAGGUCAGAUGGGAGGCCGCCUUUUGUUUGCAGGAUCCAAAUUAAGACUGGGCCUCUCCACUUUCCCUUCUGCCUCCCACCUAAACACACUCUUGGGUCAUCUCGGGCUGGUCACAUCUUUUGACAAUUAGCCACCCAUUAACAGGAUGAUUGAAAAGGAGCCAGCGUGGUUUACACAUAAAGUGCUUACUCUCUUCCAGGAAGGACACGUGUCUGCAGUUUUCAUUAAUGCUUCGGCAGAUUCGUACACAAAAUAAAAUACUGAUACUCCUGCAAAGGGAAGAGUCAAAUCCGCUUUAAGAAUGCUCUGAGCCCCUCAGCUCCCUUCUGUCUGAGGGCUCAUAUUCCCGAUAACCAGAAGCUGUAAGGAUGCUGAUUUGAGCUACCUGCCAGCAAGACUAAAGCAUGCGAUGUUGUGGUGAAUGUGCAAACACCUGGGAAGGCCGUCAGUGCACACUGAGCCUGUUAGGAAACAUAUUCAGGAGCUUACGAUGUCACUGGGCAGGCAGAGGUAUUUUAUGCUACAGAAGGGCGACAGUAGGGAGACGGCCGGGGACAGGCUGCCUUUGCUCCAAGGCUCAAGAAAAGGAGAAACACAGGCUGCCUCCUGACCAGGCUUCUCAUGGCUGCACUGUUUGGUUAGCAGGUUUUGCCCAACCUGCUGGAACCAAUUUCCCGGUAGCUGAUGGAGCAACAUUUACCAGCAAAUAUUUAGAAUCCAAGAAAUUUGCUUCGCCCUGUGUCUACACCGGAUGGCCAACUCAGAGUCCUGUAGCCAAAGAGCUCAAGUUUAAAUCCACUUCUGGCUGAGUAGCAGAAAACUAUUUAUAUAAUGGUUAAGACAUACAAAAGGAAAAGGGAUGGCUGCUCUUGAUGUUUUUUUAAUUUUUUUUAUGUUUUUGUUUGUAUUUGUGUGUGUGUGUGUGUGUGUGUGUGUGUGUGUACACAGCACAUGUGCAGGUGGUCAUAGAGGCUAGAAUAGAACAUUUGAUACCCGAGAGCUGGAGCUACAAGCAGUUUUAACCCAUCUGACAUUGGGCCUUUGGAAGAACAAUGCUUGAUCUUACUGAGCCAUCCCUCCAGCCCCCAUGCCCUGCUUCUAGGUAGCAAAUCCUUGUACUUCAAGAAAUUGAUGCUGCUACAUUUUUGCGUGUAGACUAAAUUAAACUAACAAAACAUCUAUAAAUGGCGAUUUUUUUGUAUUUCAGCUUUGUAACAGAAAGAAGGGAUGAAUCCCACAAUUAGGAAUUUAAAAAUAUUUCCCUGGAAAAGAACCUUAAAAUAUGAGAAAAGCACAGUAUACUUUCUCAAAGCACAUUCUCCAAAGAAAAUGUAAUUGUUUCUUGUCUCCCUCUCCCAUUUUCUUAUAUCUAUAGAAAUACAGUUUGUAAUGUCUAGUACUUGGUCUAUCUUAACUGUUCUAUCAUGAUUCCAUUGAUCUCAUUCACUCACAUGGAAAAACUUCAUGUCAAUAAAGAAUUCUAAAGGGAAAUAGGAAUGAAGAGAUCCUAUGUCUCAUUGUCAAAGUUAUGAGUUGAAAGUGGGGCUCAGUAAACUAUGAGAUGGGAGACAAAUCCAGCCUGCC